rnacentral:rRNA from 1 species
UACGAAGGGGGCUAGCGUUGCUCGGAAUUACUGGGCGUAAAGCGCACGUAGGCGGUCUUUAAGUCGGGAUGAAAUCCUGGAGCUCAACUCCAGAACUGCCUUCGAUACUGGAAGACUUGAGUCCGGGAGAGGUGAGUGGAACUGGCGAGUGUAGAGGUGAAAAUUCGUAGAUAUUCGUCAAGAACACCAGUGGCGAAGGCGGCUCACUGGCCCGAUACUGACGCUGACGGUGCGAAAGCGAGGGGAGCAAACAGGG